GGAAGUUCGCGCGCAAUUACCCACUCCCGGCACGGGGAGGUAGUGACGAAAAAUAACGAUACGGGACUCAGCCGAGGCCACGUAAUCGGAAUGAGUAUACUCUAAAUCCUUAUACGAGUAUCAAUUGGAGGGCAAGUCUGGUGCCAGCAGCCGCGGUAAUUCCAGCUCCAAUAGCGUAUAUUAAAGUUGUUGCGGUUAAAAAGCUCGUAGUCUGAUCUGUGUCCCGCGCCGUCGGUUCACCGCCUGUCGGUGUUCAACUGGCGUGUAUGCGGGACGUCCUGCCGGUGGCGGUCCGGUUCCCAGCAGGUUCGUAGGGGUCGUCCUUGCUCUGCUUGCGGCGUUCCCGAAGGCCUGUUCGGUGUAUCCGGCCGCCUUUUCGAUCCCGUCGCGGUGCUCUUCACCGAGUGUCGAGGCGGGCCGGCACGUUUACUUUGAACAAAUUAGAGUGCUUUAAGCAGGCCCUGUCAUGCCUGUAUGUUGUGUGCAUGGAAUAAUGGAAUAGGACCUCGGUUCUAUUUUGUUGGUUUUCGGAAUCUGAGGUAAUGAUCAAUGGGGACGGGCGGGGGCAUUCGUAUUGCGACGUUAGAGGUGAAAUUCUUGGAUCGUCGCAAGACGGACCGAAGCGAAAGCUUUUGCCAAGUACGUUCUCGUCGAUCAAGAACGAAAGUUAGAGGUUCGAAGGCGAUCAGAUACCGCCCUAGUUCUAACCAUAAACUAUGCCUGCCAGCGAUCCGCCGAAGUUCCUCCGAUGACUCGGCGGGCAGCUUCCGGGAAACCAGAGCUUUUGGGUUCCGGGGGAAGUAUGGUUGCAAAGCUGAAACUUAAAGGAAUUGACGGAAGGGCACCACCAGGAGUGGAGCCUGCGGCUUAAUUUGACUCAACACGGGAAAACUCACCAGGCCCGGACACCGGAAGGAUUGACAGAUUGAGAGCUCUUUCUUGAUUCGGUGGGUGGUGGUGCAUGGCCGUUCUUAGUUGGUGGAGCGAUUUGUCUGGUUAAUUCCGAUAACGAACGAGACUCUAGCCUACUAACUAGGCGUACCCGGUAUCCACAAUCGUGCUACCGGCGAUCAAAUUUCUUCUUAGAGGGACAGGCGGCUUCUAGCCGCACGAGACUGAGCAAUAACAGGUCUGUGAUGCCCUUAGAUGUCCUGGGCCGCACGCGCGCUACACUGAAGGAAUCAGCGUGUCUUCCCUGUCCGAAAGGACCGGGUAAUCCGCUGAACCUCCUUUGUGCUAGGGAUUGGGGCUUGCAAUUGUUCCCCAUGAACGAGGAAUUCCCAGUAAGCGCGAGUCAUAAGCUCGCGUUGAUUACGUCCUUGCCCUUGUACACA
rnacentral:rRNA from 1 species